rnacentral:rRNA from 1 species
GUACACGCUGUGACUAGCAUAUCAAUAAGCGGAGGAAAAGCACUACCUACGCUUAGGAUGUUGACGAGACUGUCGAUCUCAUCUAUACAUGACUCUGUGCAUAUCAAUAAGCGGAGGAAAAGAAACUAACAAGGAUUCCCCUAGUAACGGCGAGUGAAGCGGGAAGAGCUCAAAUUUGAAAUCUUAAAGGGUUUCCCUUUACGAAUUGUAGUUUAAAGAAGUGUUUUCUGUUGAGGUUUUGGUAAAAGUUCUUUGGAAUAGGACAUCAUAGAGGGUGAGAAUCCCGUAUUUGACCUUUACUUUCAACUUUGUGAUACACUUUCAAAGAGUCGGAUUGUUUGGGAAUGCAGUCCAAAAUGGGUGGUAAAUUUCAUCCUAAAGCUAAAUAUUGGCGAGAGACCGAUAGCGAACAAGUACCGUGAGGGAAAGAUGAAAAGAACUUUGAAAAGAGAGUUAAACAGUACGUGAAAUUGUCAAAAGGGAAGCGUUUGACACCAGUGUUGUUUUUCUGAAAAUCAAUUAAAGAACUGUUUAUGCUAAGUUGUUUAGACUUUAUCAGCUAUCUGUUUAGUUUUGAGCUUUUCUUUAAUGCACUUUUCAGUUAACAAGUCAACAUCAAUUUCUUUUGCUGUAAAAAAGCUUGAGGAAGGUGGCUUGAGAUUCGUCUUAAGUGUUUAUAGCCUCUUGCCUAUGCAGUCGGAGAGAUUGAGGUCUGCAGCGUAGAUCCUUCGGGGCUAAAUGCAUUUGUGCUAAGUUAUAGCAUUUUAUAGACAACUUGUUGACUAUGAUUUGUCUUGUAGCUUACUCGCUUAUGUUAUUUUACCUACACUUAGGAUGUUGAAGAUGUAGCACAUCAU